rnacentral:misc_RNA from 1 species
AAGUCGUAACAAGGUUUCCGUAGGUGAACCUGCGGAAGGAUCAUUAAUAAAAUACUAAACACUGUUCUUUUUAAAAAAUAUUUAACAAAUCUAAAAACAAAUCAAAA